rnacentral:tRNA from 2 species
GCUCGGGUGGUGGAAUUGGUAGACACGUUGGACUUAAAAUCCAAUGGGAAGAAAUUCCCGUACGGGUUCAAGUCCCGUCCCGAGUA